rnacentral:rRNA from 1 species
AUUGAACGCUGGCGGCAUGCUUUACACAUGCAAGUCGAACGGUAACAGGUUAAGCUGACGAGUGGCGAACGGGUGAGUAAUGCAUCGGAACGUGCCCGAUCGUGGGGGAUAACGCAGCGAAAGCUGCGCUAAUACCGCAUACGAUCUGAGGAUGAAAGCGGGGGACCGUAAGGCCUCGCGCAAUCGGAGCGGCCGAUGUCAGAUUAGGUAGUUGGUGGGGUAAAGGCUCACCAAGCCGACGAUCUGUAGCUGGUCUGAGAGGACGACCAGCCACACUGGGACUGAGACACGGCCCAGAAUCCUACGGGAGGCAGCAGUGGGGAAUUUUGGACAAUGGGCGAAAGCCUGAUCCAGCAAUGCCGCGUGCAGGAAGAAGGCCUUCGGGUUGUAAACUGCUUUUGUACGGAGCGAAAAGGCUCUCUCUAAUACAGGGGGCUCAUGACGGUACCGUAAGAAUAAGCACCGGCUAACUACGUGCCAGCCGCCGCGGUAA